CGGGGCGUAGCUCAGCCUGGUAGAGCGCUACGUUCGGGACGUAGAAGCCGUGGGUUCAAAUCCCGCCGCCCCGA
rnacentral:tRNA from 1 species